AGACCCCGGUACACCUCUAAUGUACAUCAAUGGGCUUGCAACCCACCAUGAAUUUCACUACAGAGUC
rnacentral:tRNA from 1 species